rnacentral:rRNA from 1 species
GAGUUUGAUCAUGGCUCAGAACGUACGCUGGCGGCACGCCUAAUACAUGCAAGUCGAACGAAGUAGCAAUACUUAGUGGCAGACGGGUGAGUAACAUGUAGGUAUCUUCCCAUUGGUGAGGAAUAACACGAGGAAACUUGUGCUAAUACCUCAUAAGUCUUUACGGAGAAAGCUUUAUGCGCCGAUGGAUGAGCCUGCACUUGAUUAGUUUGUUGGUAGGGUAAUGGCCUACCAAGACAAUGAUCAAUAGCUGAUUUGAGAGGAUGAUCAGCCACAUUGGGACUGAGACACGGCCCAAACUCCUACGGGAGGCAGCAGUAGGGAAUCUUGCACAAUGGGGGAAACCCUGAUGCAGCGAUGCCGCGUGAGUGAAGAAGGCCUUUGGGUUGUAAAGCUCCUUCGUCGGGGAAGAAAAUGACUGUACCCGAAUAAGAAGGUCCGGCUAACUUCGUGCCAGCAGCCGCGGUAAUACGAAGGGACCUAGCGUAGUUCGGAAUUACUGGGCUUAAAGAGUUCGUAGGCGGUUAAAAAAGUUGGUGGUGAAAUCCCAGAGCUUAACUCUGGAACUGCCAUCAAAACUUUUUAGCUAGAGUAUGAUAGAGGAAAGCAGAAUUUCUAGUGUAGAGGUGAAAUUCGUAGAUAUUAGAAAGAAUACCAAUUGCGAAGGCAGCUUUCUGGAUCAUUACUGACGCUGAGGAACGAAAGCAUGGGUAGCGAAGAGGAUUAGAUACCCUCGUAGUCCAUGCCGUAAACGAUGUGUGUUAGACGUUGGAAAUUUAUUUUCUGUGUCGCAGCGAAAGCAAUAAACACACCGCCUGGGGAGUACGACCGCAAGGUUAAAACUCAAAUGAAUUGACGGGGACCCGCACAAGUAGUGGAGCAUGUGGUUUAAUUCGAAGAUACGCGCAGAACCCUUACCAACACUUGACAUGUUCGUCGCGACUUUAAGAGAUUAAAGUUUUCGGUUCGGCCGGACGAAACACNGGUGCUGCAUGGCUGUCGUCAGCUCGUGUUC